rnacentral:rRNA from 1 species
CCUACGGGAGACAGCAGUGGGGAAUAUUGCACAAUGGGGGAAACCCUGAUGCAGCGACGCCGCGUGAGUGAAGAAGUAAUUCGUUAUGUAAAGCUCUAUCAGCAGGGAAGAAAAUGACGGUACCUGAGUAAGAAGCCCCGGCUAACUACGUGCCAGCAGCCGCGGUAAUACGUAGGGGGCAAGCGUUAUCCGGAUUUACUGGGUGUAAAGGGAGCGUAGACGGCAGUGCAAGUCUGGAGUGAAAGGCGGGGGCUCAACCCCCGGACUGCUCUGGAAACUGUACGGCUGGAGUGCAGGAGAGGUAUGCGGAAUGCGCAGUGUAGCGGUGAAAUGCUUAGAUAUUGCGCAGAACUCCGAUUGCGAAGGCAGCAUACCGGCGGCGAUCUGACGCUGAGGCACGAAAGCGUGGGUAUCGAACAGGAUUAGAUACCCGGGUAGUC